GUCCUUUUGAUAAUAAUAUAAGGUCUAACCUGCCCACUGAAAUUUUAAAGGGCCGCAGUAUUUUAACUGUGCAAAGGUAGCAUAAUAAUUAGUUUCUUAAUUAGAAGCUGGUAUGAAUGGUUGAACGAGAAAUUUACUGUCUCAAUUUAUAAGUUAAAAUUUUAUUUUUAAGUUAAAAAGCUUAAAUUAAUUUAAAAGACGAGAAGACCCUAUAGAGUUUUAUAGUUAUUUUUAUUUUAUAUUUAGAAUUUAUUAUUUUUAUUUAUAAUUAUUUUAUUGGGGUGAUAUAUAAAUUUAAUAAACUUUAUAUUUUUAUUAACAUAAAUUAAUGAUUAAUUGAUCCAUAUAAAUGAUUAAAAGAAAAAAUUACCUUAGGGAUAACAGCGUAAUUUUUUUUUAGAGUUCUAAUCGAAAAAAAAGAUUGCGACCUCGAUGUUGGAUUAAAAUUAAUUUUUGGUGUAGAAGCUGAAAUAUUAGGUCUGUUCGACCUUUAAAAUUUUACAUGAUCUGAGUUUAAACCGGUGUGAGCCAGGUUGGUUUCUAUCUUUAAAUAAAUUAAAUAUUUUAGUACGAAAGGACCAAAUAUUUUUAAAAAUUAAUUUUUUUUGAAUA
rnacentral:rRNA from 1 species